rnacentral:rRNA from 1 species
GAUUAACGCUGGCGGCGUGCAUAACACAUGCAAGUCGAACGAUGAAACUUAAAUGAUUUCUUCGGAAUGAACUUAAGUGAAUUAGUGGCGGACGGGUGAGUAACGCGUGAGUAACCUGCCUUACACAAGGGGAUAGCCGUUGGAAACGACGAAUAAUACCCUAUGAAACUAUCACUUCGCAUGAAGCGAUAGUCAAAGUGUUAGCGGUGUAAGAUGGACUUGCGUCUGAUUAGCUAGUUGGUGAGAAAAAAGCCCACCAAGGCAACGAUCAGUAGCCGGCUUGAGAGAGUGUACGGCCACAUUGGGACUGAGACACGGCCUAGACUCCUACGGGAGGCAGCAGUGGGGAAUUUUGCACAAUGGGGGAAACCCUGAUGCAGCGACGCCGCGUGAUUUAGAAGGCCUUCGGGUUGUAAAAAUCUUUUGUAUAGGAAGAAAAUGACAGUACUAUACGAAUAAGGUCCGGCUAAUUACGUG